GGUAUCGCCGUUAGUCAUGUGCAAAUAUGGAUAGCUGUUUUAGCCGUCUUUAUUGACUGGUUUAUAAGAGUUAUCAGAUAUCACUUUGAUUAAAUUAGAGUGCUUAAAGCAAGUGUGUUACUUGGAUAUAAAUGCAUGGAAUGAUGGAAUAUGUUGUUAUUCUAUUUGUUGGUUUUUGAAUGAUAAAAUGAUUGAAAGGAACUGUUGGGGGCAUUCGUAUUGUUGUGAGAGAGGUGAAAUUCUUAGACCACAGCAAGACGAACUACUGCGAAAGCAUUUGCCAAGAAUGUUUUCAUUGAUCAAGAACGAAAGUUAGAGGUUCGAAGGCGAUCAGAUACCGCCCUAGUUCUAACCAUAAACUAUGCCAACUAGCAAUUUGCUUUGUAUUUUUUAUGACAAAGUGAGAGGCCACGGGAAACCUAAGUAGGGUUAUGGGGGAAGUAUGGUUGCAAAGCUGAAACUUAAAGGAAUUGACGGAAGGGCACCACCAGGAGUGGAGCCUGCGGCUUAAUUUGACUCAACACGGGAAAACUUACCUGGUCCUGACACUAGAAGGAUUGACAGAUUGAUAGCUCUUUCUUGAUUUGGUGGAUGGUGGUGCAUGGCCGUUCUUAGUUGGUGGAGUGAUUUGUCUGGUUAAUUCCGAUAACGAACGAGACUCUAGCCUAUUAAAUAAUACACGGAACUUUAUCUUCCGCGGUAUUUCUUAGUGGGAUCAAGCG
rnacentral:rRNA from 1 species